AUUCCAGCUCCAAUAGCGUAUAUUAAGGUUGCUGCAGUUAAAAAGCUCGUAGUUGGAUUUCUGGUGGGAGCGUUGGGCCGGCCCUAAGGGUCUGAGCUCAAAUGUUUUCCGCCAUCCUUGGAGGGAUGUUGUCUGGCAUUAAGUUGUCGGGCUUCCGAUCUCCAUCGUUUACUGUGAAAAAAUUAGAGUGUUCGAAGCAGGCUUAUGCCGUUGAAUACAUUAGCAUGGAAUAAUAAGAUAGGACCUUGGUACUAUUUUGUUGGUUUGCGUACCUAGGUAAUGAUUAAUAGGGACAGUUGGGGAUAUUACUAUUUCGUUGUCAGAGGUGAAAUUCUUGGAUUUACGAAAGAGUAACUACUGCGAAAGCAUUUAUCAAGGAUGUUUUCAUCG
rnacentral:rRNA from 1 species